rnacentral:rRNA from 1 species
UACGGGGGGAGCAAGCGUUGUUCGGAAUUACUGGGCGUAAAGGGCGCGUAGGCGGCUGGGCAAGUAGGUGGUGAAAACCCCGGGCUUAACUCGGGGCUGGCCAUCUAAACUGCCUGGCUGGAGUGCAGGAGGGGGCAGUGGAAUUCCUGGUGUAGCGGUGAAAUGCGUAGAGAUCAGGAGGAACACCGGUGGCGAAGGCGGCUGCCUGGACUGCAACUGACGCUGAGGCGCGAAAGCUAGGGGAGCAAAC